rnacentral:lncRNA from 1 species
GGAGAAUAGGGGUUGAAUGAUAUUUUUUCAGAAUUUUUGGGGGCUAGAAAGCAUGAAAAAUGAAGGGGAAUAGUGCAUCUAUUUAUAAGGAAAACAAGUGGGAAAGUGGGGGAACCAAAUACCCUUUGUGCAAAGAAAAGGCUUAUUUUUGGUGUCUGCGCAGGGUAAAUCGAUUUACCUAAUUGGGUAAAUCGAUUUACCUAAUUUUUUUUAAUUUUUUUUUAAAUUCAUGCCUUGAGUCCAUGCAAUAUGUCUUUGGUUAUGAAUGUUCAAUGAAAUUAUGAUGAUGAAAUAAUAAAAGCAUGCAUGUGCG